AAUACAUUUGGCAAAGGUCCGAAACGGAGUUCUCGUUGAUGAUCGGUGCUUGCACCGAGAUUCAACAUGGCAACGAGUGGCGGACGGGUGAGUAACACGUGGGUAACCUGCCCUUAAGUGGGGGAUAACAUUUGGAAACAGAUGCUAAUACCGCAUAGAUCCAAGAACCGCAUGGUUCUUGGCUGAAAGAUGGCGUAAGCUAUCGCUUUUGGAUGGACCCGCGGCGUAUUAGCUAGUUGGUGAGGUAAUGGCUCACCAAGGCGAUGAUACGUAGCCGAACUGAGAGGUUGAUCGGCCACAUUGGGACUGAGACACGGCCCAAACUCCUACGGGAGGCAGCAGUAGGGAAUCUUCCACAAUGGACGCAAGUCUGAUGGAGCAACGCCGCGUGAGUGAAGAAGGCUUUCGGGUCGUAAAACUCUGUUGUUGGAGAAGAAUGGUCGGCAGAGUAACUGUUGUCGGCGUGACGGUAUCCAACCAGAAAGCCACGGCUAACUACGUGCCAGCAGCCGCGGUAAUACGUAGGUGGCAAGCGUUAUCCGGAUUUAUUGGGCGUAAAGCGAGCGCAGGCGGUUUUUUAAGUCUGAUGUGAAAGCCCUCGGCUUAACCGAGGAAGCGCAUCGGAAACUGGGAAACUUGAGUGCAGAAGAGGACAGUGGAACUCCAUGUUGUAGCGGUGAAAUGCGUAGAUAUAUGGAAGAACACCAGUGGCGAAGGCGGCUGUCUGGUCUGUAACUGACGCUGAGGCUCGAAAGCAUGGGGUAGCGAACAGGAUUAGAUACCCUGGUAGUCCAUGCCGUAAACGAUGAAUGCUAGGUGUUGGAGGGUUUCCGCCCUUCAGUGCCGCAGCUAACGCAUUAAGCAUUCCGCCUGGGGAGUACGACCGCAAGGUUGAAACUCAAAGGAAUUGACGGGGGCCCGCACAAGCGGUGGAGCAUGUGGUUUAAUUCGAAGCAACGCGAAGAACCUUACCAGGUCUUGACAUCUUUUGAUCACCUGAGAGAUCAGGUUUCCCCUUCGGGGGCAAAAUGACAGGUGGUGCAUGGUUGUCGUCAGCUCGUGUCGUGAGAUGUUGGGUUAAGUCCCGCAACGAGCGCAACCCUUAUGACUAGUUGCCAGCAUUUAGUUGGGCACUCUAGUAAGACUGCCGGUGACAAACCGGAGGAAGGUGGGGAUGACGUCAAAUCAUCAUGCCCCUUAUGACCUGGGCUACACACGUGCUACAAUGGAUGGUACAACGAGUUGCGAGACCGCGAGGUCAAGCUAAUCUCUUAAAGCCAUUCUCAGUUCGGACUGUAGGCUGCAACUCGCCUACACGAAGUCGGAAUCGCUAGUAAUCGCGGAUCAGCACGCCGCGGUGAAUACGUUCCCGGGCCUUGUACACACCGCCCGUCACACCAUGAGAGUUUGUAACACCCGAAGCCGGUGGCGUAACCCUUUUAGGGGAGCGAGGCCCGGUCUAAAGGGGGGGAAAAA
rnacentral:rRNA from 1 species